AUGCAAUGCUCGCUCCAGCAGCACUAAAAUUGGAACCAUACCGAGAAGAUUAGCAUGGCCCCUGAGCAAGGAUGACACAUAAAUUCAUGAAGCAUUACAUAUUCUU
ensembl:snRNA U6 U6 spliceosomal RNA